rnacentral:rRNA from 1 species
GUGCCAGCCGCCGCGGUAAGACGGAGGGGGCAAGCGUUGUCCGGAAUUACUGGGCGUAAAGAGCUCGUAGGCGGUCGCAUACGGCGGUGGUGAAAGCUCCCGGCUCAACUGGGAGAGGCCCGCCGCAACGGUGCGACUCGAGGAUGGUAGAGGCAGAUGGAAUUCCUGGUGUAGCGGUGAAAUGCGUAGAGAUCAGGAGGAACACCCGUGGCGAAGGCGGUCUGCUGGGCCAUUUCUGACGCUGAGGAGCGAAAGCUAGGGGAGCGAACGGGAUUAGAUACCCUGGUAGUCC